CUGGCUCAGGAUGAACGCUAGCGACAGGCCUAACACAUGCAAGUCGAGGGGCAGCGGGAGUGAAGCUGCUCACUGCCGGCGACCGGCGCACGGGUGAGUAACGCGUAUGCAACCUGCCUGUAACAGGGGGAUAACCCGGAGAAAUCCGGACUAAGACCGCAUAACGCUGAGAAGCCGCAUGACUUUUCAGCCAAAUAUCAUAGGUUACAGAUGGGCAUGCGUCCGAUUAGCCAGUUGGCGGGGUAACGGCCCACCAAAGCGACGAUCGGUAGGGGUUCUGAGAGGAAGGUCCCCCACAUUGGAACUGAGACACGGUCCAAACUCCUACGGGAGGCAGCAGUGAGGAAUAUUGGUCAAUGGACGGAAGUCUGAACCAGCCAUGUCGCGUGAAAAGGAUGAAGGUACUAUGUAUUGUAAACUUCUUUGCCUGGGGGUAAAGUGGGUCACGCGUGGCCUAUUGCAAGUACCAGGCGAAUAAGCAUCGGCUAACUCCGUGCCAGCCGCCGC
rnacentral:rRNA from 1 species